ACCCUGGCUACCCUCCUCUGACCUGGGAACCCCAUUCACGCUCAGGGUGUCAACUACCCCCGUACCUGGACUACUUCCAAUCCCGAUGCUUAAAAGUACCACCAGGGCCCCAGCCCCACCCCCAGACGGGAGGAAAGCUCACAGUCACUUGGCCCCUUGGACGAGGUUGAUUCCCAGCCAGCUUGGGACACGGUUGACUGAGAAAGUGACAGGGGUCUUCUUGGGACGAAGACAGUGGCCGCUGAACUAAAGAG